rnacentral:rRNA from 1 species
GAUGAACGCUAGCUACAGGCUUAACACAUGCAAGUCGAGGGGAAACGGCAUUGAGUGCUUGCACUCUUUGGACGUCGACCGGCGCACGGGUGAGUAACGCGUAUCCAACCUUCCCAUUACUGUGGGAUAACCUGCCGAAAGGCAGACUAAUACCGCAUAGUCUUCGAUGACGGUAUCAGAUUUGAAGUAAAGAUUUAUCGGUAAUGGAUGGGGAUGCGUCUGAUUAGCUUGUUGGCGGGGUAACGGCCCACCAAGGCUACGAUCAGUAGGGGUUCUGAGAGGAAGGUCCCCCACAUUGGAACUGAGACACGGUCCAAACUCCUACGGGAGGCAGCAGUGAGGAAUAUUGGUCAAUGGACGGAAGUCUGAACCAGCCAAGUAGCGUGCAGGAUGACGGCCCUAUGGGUUGUAAACUGCUUUUGUAUGGGGAUAAAGUUAGGGACGUGUCCCUAUUUGCAGGUACCAUACGAAUAAGGACCGGCUAAUUCCGUG